AGAGUUUGAUCCUGGCUCAGAUUGAACGCUGGCGGCAGGCUUAACACAUGCAAGUCGAACGGUAACAGAAAAUAGCUUGCUAUUUUGCUGACGAGUGGCGGACGGGUGAGUAAUGCUUGGGAACAUGCCAACAACGUGGGGGACAACAGUUGGAAACGACUGCUAAUACCGCAUAAUAUCUUCGGAUCAAAGCAGGGGACCUUCGGGCCUUGCGCGUUUUGAGUGGCCCAAGUGGGAUUAGCUAGUUGGUAAGGUAAUGGCUUACCAAGGCGACGAUCCCUAGCUGGUCUUAGAGGAUGACCAGCCACACUGGAACUGAGACACGGUCCAGACUCCUACGGGAGGCAGCAGUGGGGAAUAUUGCACAAUGGAGGAAACUCUGAUGCAGCCAUGCCGCGUGUGUGAAGAAGGCUUUCGGGUUGUAAAGCACUUUCAGUGGGGAGGAAAGGGUGUACGUUAAUAGCGUGCAUCUGUGACGUUACCCACAGAAGAAGCACCGGCUAACU
rnacentral:rRNA from 1 species